rnacentral:rRNA from 1 species
UGAUGUUAGCGGCGGACGGGUGAGUAACACGUGGGUAACCUGCCUGUAAGACUGGGAUAACUCCGGGAAACCGGGGCUAAUACCGGAUGCUUGUUUGAACCGCAUGGUUCAAACAUAAAAGGUGGCUUCGGCUACCACUUACAGAUGGACCCGCGGCGCAUUAGCUAGUUGGUGAGGUAAUGGCUCACCAAGGCAACGAUGCGUAGCCGACCUGAGAGGGUGAUCGGCCACACUGGGACUGAGACACGGCCCAGACUCCUACGGGAGGCAGCAGUAGGGAAUCUUCCGCAAUGGACGAAAGUCUGACGGAGCAACGCCGCGUGAGUGAUGAAGGUUUUCGGAUCGUAAAGCUCUGUUGUUAGGGAAGAACAAGUACCGUUCGAAUAGGGCGGUACCUUGACGGUACCUAACCAGAAAGCCACGGCUAACUACGUGCCAGCAGCCGCGGUAAUACGUAGGUGGCAAGCGUUGUCCGGAAUUAUUGGGCGUAAAGGGCUCGCAGGCGGUUCCUUAAGUCUGAUGUGAAAGCCCCCGGCUCAACCGGGGAGGGUCAUUGGAAACUGGGGAACUUGAGUGCAGAAGAGGAGAGUGGAAUUCCACGUGUAGCGGUGAAAUGCGUAGAGAUGUGGAGGAACACCAGUGGCGAAGGCGACUCUCUGGUCUGUAACUGACGCUGAGGAGCGAAAGCGUGGGGAGCGAACAGGAUUAGAUACCCUGGUAGUCCACGCCGUAAACGAUGAGUGCUAACUGUUAGGGGGUUUCCGCCCCUUAGUGCUGCAGCUAACGCAUUAAGCACUCCGCCUGGGGAGUACGGUCGCAAGACUGAAACUCAAAGGAAUUGACGGGGGCCCGCACAAGCGGUGGAGCAUGUGGUUUAAUUCGAAGCAACGCGAAGAACCUUACCAGGUCUUGACAUCCUCUGACAAUCCUAGAGAUAGGACGUCCCCUUCGCGGGCAGAGUGACAGGUGGUGCAUGGUUGUCUUCAUCUCCUGUCAUGAGAUGUUGGGUUAAGUCCCGCAACCACCGCAACCCUGGAUCUAAUUGCCACCAUUCAUUUGGCACUCUAAGGUGACUGCCGUGACAACCGCAGAAAAGUGGGGAUGAGGUCAAUCAUCAUGCCCUUAGAACCUGGCCUACACCGUGCUACAAUGAA